GGAAUUAGUUGAAUCUUUUAUUUCUGAAUCGAAUGGUGGUAUUUCUGUCCCCAUAGCAUGCACUGAACCGAGGAUAUAAAAAUUUCUCGCCGUCAACCGCUAGCGGAUGACGAGAUUGGCUUGUGAUGCAAAAGAGUUUUGCAAUUUCCAAGGCUUGCUCAUGGUAUUUAAUUGCCGUUUCAAACUGAUUGUUCAAUCUAUAAACUUGUCCUAACCCAAGGUAUGCCGUUGUCUCCUGAUCUUGAUCUUUUCGUUCUUUUGCAAUUUCCAAGGCUUGCUCAUAGUAUUUAGUUGCCGUUUGAAACUGAUUCUUCAAUUUAUAAACUUGUCCUAACCCAAGGUAUGCCGUUGUCUCCUGAUGUUGAUCUUUUCGUUCUUUUGCAAUUUCCAAGGCUUGCUCAUAGUAUUU